rnacentral:rRNA from 1 species
AGAGUUUGAUCCGGGCUCAGGACGAACGCUGGCGGCGUGCCUAACACAUGCAAGUCGAACGGACGAGGCCCCUUCGGGGACCGAGUUAGUGGCGGACGGGUGAGUAACGCGUGAGCAACCUGCCUUUCAGAGGGGGACAACAGUUGGAAACGACUGCUAAUACCGCAUGAUGCAGCGAGAUCGCAUGGUCUUGCUGUCAAAGAUUUAUCGCUGAAAGAUGGGCUCGCGUCUGAUUAGCUAGUUGGAGGGGUAACGGCCCACCAAGGCGACGAUCAGUAGCCGGACUGAGAGGUUGAACGGCCACAUUGGGACUGAGAUACGGCCCAGACUCCUACGGGAGGCAGCAGUGGGGAAUAUUGGGCAAUGGGGGAAACCCUGACCCAGCAACGCCGCGUGAAGGAAGAAGGCUUUCGGGUUGUAAACUUCUUUUACCAGGGACGAAGAACGUGACGGUACCUGGAGAAAAAGCCACGGCUAACUACGUGCCAGCAGCCGCGGUAAUACGUAGGUGGCAAGCGUUGUCCGGAUUUACUGGGAGUAAAGGGCGUGUAGGCGGAGCUGCAAGUCAGAUGUGAAAUCUGGGGGCUUAACCCUCAAACUGCAUUUGAAACUGUAGCCCUUGAGUAUCGGAGAGGCAGGCGGAAUCCCUAGUGUAGCGGUGAAAUGCGUAGAUAUUAGGAAGAACACCAGUGGCGAAGGCGGCCUGCUGGACGACAACUGACGCUGAGGCGCGAAAGCGUGGGGAGCAAACAGGAUUAGAUACCCUGGUAGUCCACGCUGUAAACGAUGAAUACUAGGUGUGGGGGGACUGACCCCCUCCGUGCCGGAGUUAACACAAUAAGUAUUCCACCUGGGGAGUACGACCGCAAGGUUGAAACUCAAAGGAAUUGACGGGGGCCCGCACAAGCAGUGGAUUAUGUGGUUUAAUUCGACGCAACGCGAAGAACCUUACCGGGAUUUGACAUCCUACUAACGAAGCAGAGAUGCAUUAGGUGCCCUUCGGGGAAAGUAGAGACAGGUGGUGCAUGGUUGUCGUCAGCUCGUGUCGUGAGAUGUUGGGUUAAGUCCCGCAACGAGCGCAACCCCUAUUGUUAGUUGCUACGCAAGAGCACUCUAGCGAGACUGCCGUUGACAAAACGGAGGAAGGCGGGGACGACGUCAAAUCAUCAUGCCCCUUAUGUCCCGGGCUACACACGUAAUACAAUGGCGGUCAACAAAGGGAAGCAAAGCCGCGAGGCAGAGCAAACCCCCAAAAGCCGUCUCAGUUCGGAUUGCAGGCUGCAACUCGCCUGCAUGAAGCUGGAAUUGCUAGUAAUCGUGGAUCAGAAUGCCACGGUGAAUACGUUCCCGGGCCUUGUACACACCGCCCGUCACACCAUGAGAGUCGGGAACACCCGAAGUCCGUAGUCUAACCCGCAAGGGAGGGCGCGGCCGAAGGUGGGUCUGAUAAUUGGGGUGAAGUCGUAACAAGGUA